UACGGAGGGUGCGAGCGUUGUCCGGAAUCAUUGGGCGUAAAGGGCGCGUAGGUGGCGGGACAAGCGUGCGGUGAAGCCUGGGGCUCAACCCCGGGUCGGCCGUGCGAACUGUUUUGCUUGAGCACUGUAGAGGCAGGCGGAAUUCCGGGUGUAGCGGUGGAAUGCGUAGAGAUCCGGAAGAACACCGGUGGCGAAGGCGGCCUGGCUGGGCAGUAACUGACGCUGAGGAGCGAAAGCGUGGGGAGCGAACAGG
rnacentral:rRNA from 1 species